rnacentral:rRNA from 1 species
UACGGGGGGAGCAAGCGUUGUUCGGAUUUACUGGGCGUAAAGGGCGCGUAGGCGGCCACCGCAAGUCAGUUGUGAAAUCUCUGGGCUUAACCCAGAAAGGUCAACUGAUACUGCGGGGCUAGAGUGCAGAAGGGGCAACUGGAAUUCUCGGUGUAGCGGUGAAAUGCGUAGAUAUCGAGAGGAACACCUGCGGCGAAGGCGGGUUGCUGGGCUGACACUGACGCUGAGGCGCGAAAGCUAGGGGAGCGAACGGGAUGAGAUACCACAGUAGUCC